UACGUAGGUGGCGAGCGUUACUCGGAAUUACUAGGCGUAAAGCGCAGGUAGGUGGUUGGGUAAGUCUGCAAUGAAAGCUCCCGGCUUAACUGGGAGACGUUUGUGGAUACUGCUUGACUCGAGUGUGGGAGAGGUAACUGGAAUUCCCGGUGUAGCGGUGAAAUGCGUAGAGAUCGGGAGGAACACCAACGGCGAAAGCAGGUUACUGGCCCAAUACUGACACUGAGCUGCGAAAGCUAGGGGAGCAAACAGG
rnacentral:rRNA from 1 species